rnacentral:rRNA from 1 species
AGAGUUUGAUCAUGGCUCAGGAUGAACGCUAGCUACAGGCUUAACACAUACAAGUCGAGGGGAAACGAUAUUGGAAGCUUGCUUCCGAUAGGCGUCGACCGGCGCACGGGUGAGUAACGCGUAUCCAACCUGCCCACCACUUGGGGAUAACCUUGCGAAAGUAAGACUAAUACCCAAUGAUAUCUCUAGAAGACAUCUGAAAGAGAUUAAAGAUUUAUCGGUGAUGGAUGGGGGUGCGUCUGAUUAGCUUGUUGGCGGGGUAACGGCCACCAAGGCGACGAUCAGUAGGGGUUCUGAGAGGAAGGUCCCCCANAUUGGAACUGAGACACGGUCCAAACUCCUACGGGAGGCA